rnacentral:rRNA from 1 species
UGCUUCCGGAAUAUAAUCGAGAAGUACGACCUGCCCGGUGACAUUAUAGUUAAACGGCUGCAGUACUCUGACUGUGCAAAGGUAGCAUAAUCAUUUGCCUAGUAAUUUUAGGCUGGAAUCAACGGUUAGACGAAGGAAAAGCUGUCUCCCUUUAAUUUAAUUGAAUUUAGCUUUAGAGUGAAGAGACUUUAAUAAGAGAGUGGGACGAGAAGACCCUAUUGAGCUUUAGUUUAAUUAAAAUUAAAUAUUUUAAAAUAAAUUUUGAUUGGGGCAAUCCUUUUUAUAAUAAAACAAAAGUAAAUAUAAAAUGAAUUUAUACUAUUAAGACCCUAAAAUUUUAGGAAGAAGAAAAAGUUACCAUAGGGAUAACAGCGUUAUUUUUCUUGAGAGUACAUAUUGACAGAGAAGUUUGCGACCUCGAUGUUGGAUUAAGAUUUCCGGGAUGUGCAGCAGCUUCCAAUGGUUGGUUUGUUCAACCAUAAAAAUCUU